rnacentral:sRNA from 1 species
CUUCCUCGAUCUGCUGCGGGCAGAUGAAGUGAAUGUGCGCAUCCAUGCCGCCAGCCGUGAGGAUCUUGCCUUCUCCGGCGAUGACUUCCGUCGAAGGUCCGACGAUGAUGGUCACGCCCGGCUGUGUAUCCGGAUUGCCGGCCUUGCCGAUCGCCGCGAUGCGCCCGUCCUUCAGACCGACAUCGGCCUUGACGAUGCCCGUGUGAUCGACGAUCAGCGCAUUGGUGAUGACGGUAUCGACCGCCCCUUGCGCCCGCGUCGCCUGGCUUUGGCCCAUGCCGUCGCGGAUG